rnacentral:lncRNA from 1 species
UUUGUAAUUUAUUUUAUUUGUUUGUGGCUUCUUUUUAUAAUGUAAUGCAUAAAAAUGGUGGUGUUCUUUCAUUUUAAAAAAUAAACCAAUAAACACUUCAUUUUAUUAGUUUGAUACAAAUAAAUGGUCUUUUACACGACAAAUACAUACAGUGGUUCUUCACAUUUUGUUAUUUUCUUCACUGUUUCUUGCAAAAAAAAUGUUUCUCGUGGUUCUCGUGCUUUGUUGUUUCUCUUCUUUCGUAAAUGUCUUGUCUUGUAUAAGGAAACGCAAAAACUCUGCGAACAAGUUUGAUUUUGUUUGUUUGUCUUGCUUGUUUUUGUUCUUAGUUUUCAUUUUGGUUUCAUCAUUGGAACGGCUUUAUUGAACUUUUGUUGUUGUUGUUGCUUUUGGUUUUGCAUAUAAUUUAAUUUUGUUUGUUUGAUUUGUUGUUUCUAAUUGCAUUCUUGCAUUAAAAAACAUUAAUUCUUUGGCAGGCAUUGCAUUUCGUAGUUUUGUAAAAGUUUUCUUUUCCCAUUCAUUCUCGUUCUCAACGCAAGAUUCGAAACCGAAAAACGUAAAGAUUCGAAAUAUUUGAGAUGUACAUAGAAACAAAUAAUUCGUUUAAUUUUGCUUAGUUUCAUUUCAUGUAUCAUUUUUCUGUUUUGAUUUUGUUUAUCAAAUACACAUCAAUACUUUGGUAGUUUAAAAAUUGUGGUUUCCGUGUUUUUUCGUAUUUUUUUUUUGUUUUAAUUUUCUGUUGUGCUAAAUUACAUUUUAAAAAUAUGCUUAAUAU